rnacentral:rRNA from 1 species
UGGUACGAGAGGGGCGGGGGCCAACUCGUGACAUCCCCAUUGACCGCUUGAGAGAUCAAGUUUUUCCCUUCGGGGACAAUGGUGACAGGUGGUGCAUGGUUGUCGUCAGCUCGUGUCGUGAGAUGUUGGGUUAAGUCCCGCAACGAGCGCAACCCCUAUCCUUAGUUGCCAGCAUUCAGUUGGGCACUCUAGGGAGACUGCCGGUGACAAACCGGAGGAAGGUGGGGAUGACGUCAAAUCAUCAUGCCCCUUAUGAGUUGGGCUACACACGCGCUACAAUGGACGGUACAACGGGCAGCGAGACCGCGAGGUGGAGCCAAUCCCAUAAAGCCGUUCCCAGUUCGGAUUGCAGGCUGCAACUCGCCUGCAUGAAGUCGGAAUCGCUAGUAAUCGCAGGUCAGCAUACUGCGGUGAAUACGUUCCCGGGUCUUGUACACACCGCCCGUCACACCACGAGAGUUUGCAACACCCGAAGCCGGUGAGGUAACCGUAAGGAGCCAGCCGUCGAAGGUGGGUAGAAGGGA